GAUGAGGUGGCCGAGAGAUUAAGGCGAUAAACAACGAAUCCAUUGUCCUCUGCACGCGUGGGUUCGAAUCCCAUCCUCGUCG